GAAUAUUGGACAAUGGGCGAAAGCCUGAUCCAGCCAUGCCGCGUGUGUGAAGAAGGUCUUCGGAUUGUAAAGCACUUUAAGUUGGGAGGAAGGGUUGUAGGUUAAUACCCUGCAAUUUUGACGUUACCAACAGAAUAAGCACCGGCUAACUUCGUGCCAGCAGCCGCGGUAAUACGAAGGGUGCAAGCGUUAAUCGGAAUUACUGGGCGUAAAGCGCGCGUAGGUGGUUCAGUAAGAUGGAAGUGAAAUCCCCGGGCUUAACCUGGGAACUGCUUUCAUAACUGCUGAGCUAGAGUACGGUAGAGGGUAGUGGAAUUUCCUGUGUAGCGGUGAAAUGCGUAGAUAUAGGAAGGAACACCAGUGGCGAAGGCGACUACCUGGACUGAUACUGACACUGAGGUGCGAAAGCGUGGGGAGCAAACAGG
rnacentral:rRNA from 1 species